UAAAACAAAUUUGUCUUAAUCUCAUCCCUUUUCAUUCAUUAUAUGCCUUAUUUUUAUACUAUUUACUUUUUUAAAAUUCUCUUUUUAAAUCCCUGAUUUGGCCUUUUAAUAUCCCUAAUAAACGUGGGGAUUCAAACUCCCAUCAGCUGAAAACAAUAUUGAGACAGUAGAGAUGGCCAAAUCAGCAUGGAAAAACUAAGAGAUUGCUUUAUGAUGGAAUAUUAUAACUAUAGAGCCAGGGAUUCAGUAUACCAAUUUGAAAAAAACAAAUCCUGUUAUAUCUAAAAUUGAUGAAGCAAAUAUUGCUAGAGCAAUGUAUGAGCAAAUGAGGUAAUGAAAAUUAUCAAUAUGAAGAUGCCAUUGAAAUCCCCUGCAUAGAGAUAAGUAGUGAAGCUACGAUUUUAAGGAAUGACUCAUCACCAUCAACUAGUAUAGGAUCAAAUUUAUCUUGCAAAAAAUUAAUUAAAAAGAGGGAUAUUGAUCAAGAUCUAUUUGAGCAAAUACUUGAAAUAAAAAAAAAUGAAAGAAAUAAGAUUAUCUACAAAUUCUUGGAUCAAUGUCUUCUUGAGCAAACCCUAGCAAAAAGAUCAGAAAGGGGAAAGAAAAAGCUUAUUAAACUUUUUUUUGAUAUACUCUUCAAUUUGACAGUGAUCAAGAAAAAAAAAUAAUAAAUUGUAUUCUUAUUAUUUCAUUG